GUAAAAAUGGGGCAGGAUGCUGGUGGGUAACACAAAGAAACUUGAUGUGGUUAUUCCAACUGUUGUGCCAAAAAUAGGAAAGAGAUUACAUACAAAAUCAAGUCAGGUUUGUAUAACUUGUUUCCAGAUACUUGGAGAACCUACAAACGGCUAGUCAACCCCAACCAACCAGUUCCUAGACUAAGAGAGAAAUACGUCAACAGAGGUUGUCUUCUUGAUAUACCUAC